AACGAACGCUGGCGGCAUGCCUAACACAUGCAAGUCGAACGAGACCUUCGGGUCUAGUGGCGCACGGGUGCGUAACGCGUGGGAACCUGCCCUUAGGUUCGGAAUAACUCCCCGAAAGGGGUGCUAAUACCGGAUAAUGUCUUCGGACCAAAGAUUUAUCGCCUUUGGAUGGGCCCGCGUUGGAUUAGCUAGUUGGUAGGGUAAAAGCCUACCAAGGCGACGAUCCAUAGCUGGUCUGAGAGGAUGAUCAGCCACACUGGGAAUGAGACACGGCCCAGACUCCUACGGGAGGCAGCAGUGGGGAAUAUUGGACAAUGGGCGAAAGCCUGAUCCAGCAAUGCCGGGUGAGUGAUGAAGGCCUUAGGGUUGUAAAGCUCUUUUACCCGGGAUGAUAAUGACAGUACCGGGAGAAUAAGCUCCGGCUAACUCCGUG
rnacentral:rRNA from 1 species